UCUGGUCUUGGGACACUGUCAGGUGGGCAGUUUGACUGGGGAGGUCGCCUCCCAGAAGGUAACGGAGGCGCUCAAAGGUUCUCUCAGUACGGUCGGAAAUCGUACGUAGAGUGUAAAGGCAAAAGAGAGCUUGAUUGCAAGACAUACAGGUCGAGCAAGGAUGAAAAUCGGACUUAGUGAUCCGGUGGUUCUGCGUGGAAGGGCCAUCGCUCAACGGAUAAAAGCUACCCUGGGGAUAACAGGCUUAUCUCCCCCAAGAGUCCACAUCGACGGGGAGGUUUGGCACCUCGAUGUCGGCUCAUCACAUCCUGGGGCGGUAGUAGGUCCCAAGGGUUGGGCUGUUCUCCCAUUAACGUGGUCAGCGAGCUGGGUUCAGAACGGGCUGAGACAGCUCGGUCCCUAUCCGUCGCAGGCGUAGGAAAUUUGAGAAGACCUGUCCUUAGUACGAGAGGACCGGGAUGGACGUACCUCUGGUGUACCAGUUGU
rnacentral:rRNA from 1 species